rnacentral:misc_RNA from 1 species
GGCGGUUGCAGGUCUGCACCGCC